rnacentral:misc_RNA from 1 species
UUAAAUACUGUCUAGUUUAUUGAGUAAAAAAUAUUAAAUUUCAUUAAGAAGAAGUGUAUUAAAGAGUUUCACGGCCCUUACAUCACGAGAUGAUAUUUUAUUAUUCUUAGCGGUUAUUUUGAAUGACAUUGCAGUGACGUCGAGUUACUCUCUUUAAUUUUAAUCAUUUAAAUAAAUCUUUAUAGCAUUGCUAUGAUUCCGUUAGACAUAUAAUUUAAUGAGUAUUUUUUGGAUUAUAUUGCACAGUACUUGAUAAUUUAUAAAUGGAAAGACGUUUUCUGUCAACGAGAGUUUCAGCUUUAUUGAAUUCACCUGUUUUGCCAAAAUUUGCUCAAGUUCAAGAAGAUUGUUUAGAAAAUGUGUAUAAAACAAAACAAUUAGGUCCAUUGGGUAGAGCACCUUCACCUAAAAUUCCUGCCAAAGUUGUUAAGUCAUUCUUUGGAAGGUCUAGUGAAAAGGGUGAUUCAGCUGAGCAGUGUAUGUCUCCAUCUAAUGAAAUAUAUUUUCAGUCUGAGUAUUCAAAAGCUUUUAAUCCAUUUUGUAAAUGCCAUAAUGCAGAAGUUGCUCCUGCUGGUAUAAAAUUAAAAACUCCUGACAAUAAUGGCGAUCAUAUGAAAGAAAUUUUUACUAUGAAGACUAGAGGAGAAUCUGCAAUCAUUAUUCCCAUAUCUAAGACAUGGAAACUUAAUCCUGAUGCUGAAUGCAAUUUCAGAUAUAAGCAGCAACAGUCUGCAGGUCAUGAUAGUAUUCAUCAUGGGAGUAAAUAUGGUAACUGUGAUCUAAAAUGUGACAUGGAAGAAAAAAAAAUUAUCCAUCUUUUAUGUAGUUUACUUAAAGGGAAUACUGCAAGUGAUUCUGAAGAUCAUUUAUGUGGAUUAAAAGGCUGCUUCCAGAUCUCAAGAAUAUGUGUAAUAGCUGUCAGAUAAUGAAUUCUAAUCAAGAUAUGAUAGACCAUUUUAAAACUUCUGCAUCUGCUAUUGGUGAUCACAUAGCAUCAGUGCACAGAAAACCUGCAGGACUCCCAACUAUACGAAAUGACAUGAAAAGACCUAAAUCUAGAAAUAUUACUGAUUUAAAGGAUUAUGGUGACAUAAAGAGUUGUACAAGAACUAUACAACCCUCUAUAUUUGAAAA